GACGAACGCUGGCGGCGUGCCUAAUACAUGCAAGUUGAGCGCUGAAGGUUGGUACUUGUACCAACUGGAUGAGCAGCAAACGGGUGAGUAACGCGUGGGGAAUCUGCCUUUGAGCGGGGGACAACAUUUGGAAACGAAUGCUAAUACCGCAUAAAAACUUUAAACACAAGUUUUAAGUUUGAAAGAUGCAAUUGCAUCACUCAAAGAUGAUCCCGCGUUGUAUUAGCUAGUUGGUGAGGUAAAGGCUCACCAAGGCGAUGAUACAUAGCCGACCUGAGAGGGGGAGCGGCCACAUUGGGACGGAGACACGGCCCAAACUCCUACGGGAGGCAGCAGUAGGGAAUCUUCGGCAAUGGACGAAAGUCUGACCGAGCAACGCCGCGUGAGUGAAGAAGGUUUUCGGAUCGUAAAACUCUGUUGGUAGAGAAGAACGUUGGUGAGAGUGGAAAGCUCAUCAAGUGACGGUAACUACCCAGAAAGGGACGGCUAACUACGUG
rnacentral:rRNA from 1 species